UACGAAGGGGGCUAGCGUUGCUCGGAAUUACUGGGCGUAAAGGGAGCGUAGGCGGACAGUUUAGUCAGAGGUGAAAGCCCAGGGCUCAACCUUGGAAUUGCCUUUGAUACUGACUGUCUUGAGUAUGGGAGAGGUAAGCGGAACUCCGAGUGUAGAGGUGAAAUUCGUAGAUAUUCGGAAGAACACCAGUGGCGAAGGCGGCUUACUGGCCCAUUACUGACGCUGAGGCUCGAAAGCGUGGGGAGCAAACAGGAUUAGAAACCCCCUGUAGUCC
rnacentral:rRNA from 1 species